UGUUCUGAAAAAGGAGUAAAACAGUGACUGGAAAAGCAGUUGUGCCUGCUGAGAACAGAGUCUGCCUCAUGCCAGUGCCACCACUCCUGAGAGGCCAAGUCAUUGGCACGCAGAGCCCUCACUGGAAAUCCCCGUGUGUGUCCGUCUGUGGUGCUGGUCUUAAGACACAUUCAGAUGAAAAUUGCAUUAACAGAUUUUUGACCUCAAGACUAAGCCACGUUACAUGUGUGAAAGGCCCAGCAUCUCUGCUCUGAUCCGCAGCACCGCUCCUGCAUACUGAGUAAGUAACUGCAGCCUACUGAUGUAAUAG